GCAUAAACAGGAAGGGUCAAUGCACAAGGGGAACAGUCUGGUCCACAUGCAGAACUCUCCCUGAGGCAGGUCCACCUUCUUCACUUCCCCUCAAAGAAGGAACAGACUUUUGUCACCCUUCUAAGAGCAUGUAAGCCAUGUGUUCUCUUCCUACAGCUGCAGAUCCACCAGCACCAUGUGCCUAAGCCAUCCAGUCCCAGGAGGGUCUUGCCACCUCCAGGCCCUCUCCAGAGGACCAAGAGCUGCCAGAGUGGUGAAGACGGCUAAUUAUGAACCACACAGACAGACAGUGAAGACUGCACACCCCACCGAGUGACCAAGAUACAGGCUACAGUUUUUCACAAUGACAUUAUAAGAAGAAAGUGUUAUAAAAAUCAGUCAUGGAUUCACCAUGUGAAGUCAUGGCCUCCAUCACUCCCUCUAUUAAUCCCUAUCCUGCAUCCCUGUGCUGUAGUUGUGGAACCUCAUUCAUUACUGCCAUGCUGUGGGUCCUCUUUAGUUCCUCAACUCAGGGGGCUGGUUGGAGGGAGCUGGGUGCUGUGGAAAGCAAACAUACACUGGAGACCUGCCUGUGUAACACUGAACCUAGCACAGGCUGGGAGGGCAAGCUUGUUCCCUUUGGACUGUGCAUACCUCUGAGGGGAAUGACAAAAGUUUGUUGCAAAAGUUUGUGACGAUUUGGUUCAGAGAACAAUUUGGGGUGAGUCAUUGGUAAGACUUCAAGAUUGUGAGUUGGAACAAAAACCUCAGUGGAACAGUACAAGAAUUAUUUAAAUUUUUUAAUUAUAAUUCAUCAUGAAGAAGAAGAGAACACUUCAUCCAAAGGCAAUUUUACAGGAAUAAUUGCUCUGACACAAGCAGCGGGCAGUAAGGGAGGUGCCAGCCCAGGAAAAUGUGUAUGGAGCCAUUGGCAGGACACGCCUGGGAAGACAAAAACUAAAAAUCCAAGUGAACUCUCUAGCAUAUCAGCAGGUAGUAUUGCAGCUGGUGACAAUAAAGUCCCCACACUCAUACUUCAGUAGGAAAAGGUGCAAAUAAAGAACUUAUUGAAAAGCACACAGAAUCAGAGCUUGAUCUGUGUUCAGAACAGCUGAGUUUCAGAGUACACAUGGAGCUGUCACCUGAGGACACUUUUUCCAACAGAAAACAGAAACCAAGACUAGCUGCUUAUUAGACACUGGCGACUUGUAAAAAGGGAGUCUGAGACAGCAAAGGAAACUCCUCAGUCAAACUCAGUGUUGUCAAAUCCAUCUCUCUCCUGGAAUAAGAGUGAGAGCUGGUACUGAACUUCAUAGGGAUUUUGAGCUUCCUGGAAAUUGCAGAUAUGUAUUUUUUACAGUAAUCGCUAUAUAAGUGAUCCUUUAAUUUUCUUCCAUACAUCCUUUUCAUACCCUCUGCAGACUCAUCAGGCCACAUGGUUUUUAUCCCUGACCUGAUCCAUUAGGUCGACUUGUAUUACAGCACUGGUCUUUAUUGUAUAUUACACAAAUAGGGUCGGGCACACAUUUAAUGACAACUUGAAAUGUGCAGUGCUUCAGGGCCCUUUCAGGUAUUGCAUUUAUGCAAAACCAUCUAUUUGGAAUAUGAAACUUGGUAUGUACUCAGUGUUCAAUUUAAAUACAGCAGCUCUUAUUUUUUCAAGUACAAUUUCAGAGUUUUUAAUUGUUGUAUGAAUAAACAACCAAUCAGGUGGUUCAGCAAAUAC